rnacentral:rRNA from 1 species
UACGGAGGAUUCAAGCGUUAUCCGGAUUUAUUGGGUUUAAAGGGUGCGUAGGCGGUCGGAUAAGUUAGAGGUGAAAUCCCGGGGCUCAACUUCGGAAUUGCCUCUGAUACUGUUCGGCUAGAGAGCAGUUGCGGUAGGCGGAAUGUAUGGUGUAGCGGUGAAAUGCUUAGAGAUCAUACAGAACACCGAUUGCGAAGGCAGCUUACCAAGCUACUUCUGACGUUGAGGCACGAAAGCGUGGGGAGCAAACAGG